rnacentral:rRNA from 1 species
ACCAGCUGGCUGGUUCCAUGAGGUGACUUCUGCCCAGUGCUCUGAUUGUCAAUGCGAAGAGAUUCAGCCAAGCGCGGGUAAACGGCGGGAGUAACUAUGACUCUCUUAAGGUAGCCAAAUGCCUCGUCAACCAAUUAUUGACGCGCAUGAAUGGAUCAACGAGAUUCCUGCUGUCCCUAGUUGCCGUCUGGUGAACCAACAGCCAAGGGAACGGGCUUGGAUGUGUCAGCGGGGAAAGAAGACCCUGUUGAGUUUGACUCUAGUUUGAUGCUGUGCAACGACAUGUUGGGUGUAGCAUAGGUGGGAGGCAAGUGCCAUGGGCCACAAGUCCCUGGAGUCGAGUGCCUUGGUGCGAGCCAGCAGUGAAAUACCACUACCUUCACCGUCGUAGUGCUCAUUGAGUGACCUGGGAACGGCAGCCCUUAGACAUCAGCCUGUCCCUCGCGGAUGGGUUGUGGCUCAUCUCCGCUUCGUGCGCAAAGUGUGGCACUUGUGCCAUGCGACCCUGGAUGCUGCAGUCCAAUCAGAAGCCUCAAGACACUGAUCAGUUGGGGAGUUUGGCUGGGGCGGCACGCCUGUUACAUCACAACGCAGGCGUCCUGAAGCAAUGCUCAGAUGGAACAGAAAUCUCCCAUGGAGGAGCAGGCCAAAGGUGCUGCUGAUGCUGCUGCUCUCAGUACGAGCACGAAACAUGCAAGUGUGGCCUUGCGAUCCUUUGGUUAAGUGCACGAGUUCAGGAUACUGAAGCCAGAGGUGUCAGAAAAAUUACCACAGGGAUAACUGGCUUGUGGCAGCCAAGCGUUCAAAGCGACGUUGCUUUUUGAUCCUUCGAUGUCGGCUCUUCCUAGCUUCCCACCCGCAGCCGA